UGAUUUCCCUCCUGCUGAUUUACAGUCCCUGUCCCGUUCUCUGUCGGCACUUGGAUAUCAUUCCCGCUUUGAAAAAACUUACUCCUUUGACAAAUAUAUACAAAACAGAAAGCUAAUGGGGUGACUAAUCUAUUUGAAGAACCUUCUACAUCCUUUUGUGAUCGAUGAUUCCUACUUGGCUUGACACAUGUACAUUUGGCACCUUUUCCUUGACAAGUAAACCAAGAUUGUGUGGUUUUCGUCGUGGCCUAUGGUGUAGAAGCGGAGAAUGAGGAAGAAAAUAAUUUGAAGAUUUGCAGAGAGAAGGGAUUGGAUUUCACCCUGUCGUGGAGUCAGUCCAUUGGGAUAAACCAAGUCACUAAUACCAGGCAGAGGAAGUGACCGAAUUUUAUAUUUUGUGUCAGACACAACCUCAAAACAAAGAGGAACCACUCCAAGGACCUGGCCAGAUGCAAGCCUGGGUUUAAAAUGCAGUGAAACCGUUUGCUCAUCACAAACUUGCAACUGGGGUGCAAGGUACCAGCAAGCUGAAUUCACUGCCGGCAGAGCAUGCGGCUGACUCCAGGGGCUGGACCUCCCCGGGGGAUGAAAAUGGAAAAGCGCACGCAGCUCGAUACACUUUUUAAGCAGGAAAAUGCUUCCAAAGGAAGAGACGGUAAAAGCACAUGAAAUGAAUCUUCGUCUGAGAGAACAGCCUCCAAGUAAUUAAAAGCCGAUUGUCUCCUCCUGGGCCCUUUAGUUUCUGGUUUCUGCCUGAGGACUUUAAGGGAUGAAUGGAUAAAGAAGAUGUGGCACAUAUAUACAAUGGAAUAUUACUCAGCCAUAAAAAGAAACGAAAUUGAGCUAUUUGUAAU